rnacentral:rRNA from 1 species
GACGAACGCUGGCGGCGUGCUUAACACAUGCAAGUCGAACGGAAAGGCCCUGCUUUUGUGGGGUGCUCGAGUGGCGAACGGGUGAGUAACACGUGAGUAACCUGCCCUUUACUUUGGGAUAACUUCAGGAAACUGGGGCUAAUACCGGAUAGGAGCUCCUGCUGCAUGGUGGGUGUUGGAAAGUUUCGGCGGUUGGGGAUGGACUCGCGGCUUAUCAGCUUGUUGGUGGGGUAGUGGCUUACCAAGGCUUUGACGGGUAGCCGGCCUGAGAGGGUGACCGGCCACAUUGGGACUGAGAUACGGCCCAGACUCCUACGGGAGGCAGCAGUGGGGAAUAUUGCAAAAUGGGCGGAAGCCUGAUGCAGCACCGCCGCGUGCGGGAUGACGGCCUUCGGGUUGUAACCCGCUUUCGCCUGUGACGAAGCGUGAGUGACGGUAAUGGGUAAAGAAGCACCGGCUAACUACGUG